rnacentral:rRNA from 1 species
GAACGAGAAAGUGGAGCAAUCCAUGAGUACAGUGGCGACCGGGUGAGUAACACGUGACUAACCUACCCUCGAGUGGGGGAUAACUCCGGGAAACCGGAGCUAAUACCGCAUAACAUCGAAAGAUCAAAGCAGCAAUGCGCUUGGAGAGGGGGUCGCGGCUGAUUAGCUCGUUGGCGGGGUAACGGCCCACCAAGGCGAAGAUCGGUAUCCGGCCUGAGAGGGCGCACGGACACACUGGAACUGAAACACGGUCCAGACUCCUACGGGAGGCAGCAGUGGGGAAUCUUGCACAAUGGGGGAAACCCUGAUGCAGCGACGCCGCGUGAGCGAUGAAGCCCUUCGGGGUGUAAAGCUCUUUCGGCAGGGAAGAUGAUGACGGUACCUGCAGAAGCAGCUGCGGCUAACUACGUG